AAGGCUCUUAACACACUUUCAACAUGUUCAAUCAGAGUAUUUAGCCCUGUAGCCAUUAUUUAGGAGUUAUUUCUAGAUGAAGGCUUCUUUCGCAAGAAAGGGGGUCAGGUCUCAUCCCAAGCAUGAAGAAGUAAGCUCAAGAUGCCUAGAGCUGGAUAUUUUCCAAAUGCCCUUUUCGCUAACAACGACUGCUUUUCCACAGUUCGUAGUUUGAUAGUAGGUGGGCGUAAAUUU
rnacentral:snoRNA from 1 species